GGUCUUCCCAAGAUUUCUGGACACACCAGGACUGAUAGAACAAGAUUUCAGACUUCUGUUUGGUGAGGCCACAGCCAACAAAUUCUUGGAGAAGUGGCCAACCACUUUCAAAGCAAAAGUAAUAAAGGAAAGCCAUGGACUUGUAUCCACCACAGAACUCUUGGAUUUGAUGCGCAAUGCUGAGUCAGCUGCUGAAGUUGAGAAUGGCUGGGACAGUGACAUGUCUGCCAUCUUGCUGCUGCUACAUUUGCUACCACCAUCUGCACAAGGUAGAAAGAGGCCGGGAAAGAUGUCUGCAUAUCAAGCUGUAGAUCAGCUCAUCAGAUUUCAAAAGGUUGGAACCAGUGUGCAGCAGCAUCUUGACAACAUCACCCAAAGCAGUCAGCCC